CUUUACUGUAGCCUGGAAUUGGCUUCGGGCUUCGCUUGCGCAGGAUAGGUGGGAGGCACAGAAGUUCCCCUUGUGGGGGGAAUCGAGCCAACGGUGAGAUACCACUCUAGCGAGGCUAGAAUUCUAACCCUUGCCCGUCAGCCGGGAAGGAGACAGUUUCAGGGGGGCAGUUUGACUGGGGCGGUCGCCUCCUAAAAGGUAACGGAGGCGCGCAAAGGUUCCCCCAGGCUGGUUGGAAAUCAGCCACAGAGUGCAAAGGCGGAAGGGAGCUUGACUGCAAGACCUACAAGUCGAGCAGGGUGGAAACACGGUCUUAGUGAUCCGACGGUGCCGCAUGGAAGGGCCGUCGCUCAACGGAUAAAAGUUA
rnacentral:rRNA from 1 species